AUUCCCGGGCGAGGUUCCGUGACUCUGGAGUGGGGAGUCAGGAAAAGAAAGAAAAAGGGGGCAAGUCAAAGCCUCCUCAAAAUCCGAUUUGGCUUUUUUCAAUGGGAUCAUCUAUCUUCUCUAUCUGGUUUUGCCAGUUAAACACUAAUGAUGCACAUUCUAAGGCAUGAUCUAAUUUCCCUGGAAGGCAGCCCAUUGCAGAUAGUCUACCCUGGCAGAUAAGAGAAGGUCCAUUUCUCAAAGGGUGUUGGGGGUCAAUAAAAGAUGUAGCUGCACCUCUGCUGAGGAUUGCUGGGUGCUUCCUUGCAGCCUUCCCUGACGCA